rnacentral:other from 2 species
AGAUUCCUGGGAUGUGCGACACCCUACUAUUUUGAACCUACAUUUACGUUCAUGGGAUUCUCAUAUCGCUGACUUGGAUGCCAGGCCGCCGUCAGCAGCGGAAGGCAGAAGAGCAGUUGCGGACACCCACCUAGCUUUGCUAGGAGUCAAAAUUGUAGGAAACGGCAUUUUGGGUAUUAC